ACGGGAGGCAGCAGUGGGGAAUAUUGGGCAGUGGGCGAAAGCCUGACCCAGCAACGCCGCGUGAAGGAAGAAGGUCUUCGGAUUGUAAACUUCUUUUAUGAGGGACGAAGGACGUGACGGUACCUCAUGAAUAAGCCACGGCUAACUACGUGCCAGCAGCCGCGGUAAUACGUAGGUGGCAAGCGUUAUCCGGAUUUACUGGGUGUAAAGGGCGCGUAGGCGGGGAUGUAAGUCAGAUGUGAAAUCUAUGUGCUUAACUCAUGAACUGCAUUUGAAACUGUAUCUCUUGAGUGCUGGAGAGGUAGAUGGAAUUCCUUGUGUAGCGGUGAAAUGCGUAGAUAUAAGGAAGAACCCCAGUGGCGAAGGCGAUCUACUGGACAGUAACUGACGCUGAGGCGCGAAAGCGUGGGGAGCAAACAGGAUUAGAUACCCUGGUA
rnacentral:rRNA from 1 species